GGCGAACGGGUGAGUAACACGUGGGCAAUCUGCCCUCUGGAGCGGGAUAACAGACCGAAAGGCCUGCUAAUACCGCAUGAGGCCGGACCUUCGCAUGGAGGACCGGUCAAAGGGGAAACCCGCCGGAGGAGGAGCCCGCGUCCCAUUAGCUAGUUGGCGGAGUAACGGCCCACCAAGGCGAUGAUGGGUAGCCGGCCUGAGAGGGUGAACGGCCACAUUGGGACUGAGACACGGCCCAGACUCCUACGGGGGGCAGCAGUGAGGGAUUUUCGGCAAUGGGCGAAAGCCUGACCGAGCGACGCCGCGUGAGCGAAGAAGGCCUUCGGGUCGUAAAGCUCUGUCUAGGGGGAAGAGGAAGGACGGUACCCCUGGAGGAAGCCACGGCUAACUACGUGCCAGCAGCCGCGGUAAUACGUAGGUGGCGAGCGUUGUCCGGAAUUACUGGGCGUAAAGGGCGCGCAGGCGGUUCGUUAAGUCUGGGGUGAAAUCCUUCGGCUCAACCGGAGGGGGACCCUGGAUACUGGCGGGCUUGAGUGUGGGAGAGGGAAGCGGAAUUCC
rnacentral:rRNA from 1 species